rnacentral:rRNA from 1 species
AGCGAACGCUGGCGGCAGGCCUAACACAUGCAAGUCGAGCACCGUAGCAAUACGGAGCGGCAGACGGGAGAGUAACACGUGGGAACGUACCCUUCAGUACGGAACAACCAAGGGAAACUUUGGCUAAUACCGUAUACGUCCGUAAGGAGAAAGAUUUAUCGCUGAAGGAUCGGCCCGCGUCUGAUUAGCUAGUUGGUGAGGUAACGGCUCACCAAGGCGACGAUCAGUAGCUGGUCUGAGAGGAUGAUCAGCCUCACUGGGACUGAGACACGGCCCAGACUCCCACGGGGGGCAUCAGUGGGGAAUAUUGGACAAUGGGCGCAAGCCUGAUCCAGCCAUGCCGCGUGGGUGAUGAAGGCCCUAGGGUUGUAAAGCCCUUUCGGCGGGGAAGAUAAUGACGGUACCCGCAGAAGAAGCCCCGGCUAACUUCGUGCCAGCCGCCGCCGUAA